AUGGAGAUUUUUGGGCAUGUCAGAAAAGUUGAUUGUUAUCCAAAUAUCUUCAUUGCUUAUCGCAUCUUAUUUACUGUGUCUGUGACUGUCGUAUCGGCUGAAAGAAAAUUUUCAAAGCUGGAAUUGUUGAAGAAUUAUUUAAGGUCAACAAUGACUCGAGAGAGGUUAAAUGAUUUGGCUACAUUAUGCAUGGAGAAGAAAUUAUUGGAUGAGAUUGACAUCGACCCCAUCAUAAGUGACUUUGCAACGAGGAAUGUUAGAAGAAAAUUUUAA
rnacentral:rRNA from 1 species